rnacentral:rRNA from 1 species
UACGAAGGGGGCUAGCGUUGCUCGGAAUCACUGGGCGUAAAGGGUGCGUAGGCGGGCUUUUAAGUCAGGGGUGAAAUCCUGGAGCUCAACUCCAGAACUGCCUUUGAUACUGGCGAUCUUGAGUCCGGGAGAGGUGAGUGGAACUGCGAGUGUAGAGGUGAAAUUCGUAGAUAUUCGCAAGAACACCAGUGGCGAAGGCGGCUCACUGGCCCGGUACUGACGCUGAGGUGCGAAAGCGUGGGGAGCAAACAGG